AGGACGAACGCUGGCGGCGUGCUUAACACAUGCAAGUCGAGCGACGCGCCUUCGGGUGACGGAGCGGCGAACGGGUGAGUAACACGUGGGCAACCUGCCCCCAGCUCUGGGACAACUCCGGGAAACCGGGGCUAAUACCGGAUACGACCUCGGAGGGCAUCCUCUGGGGUGGAAAGUUUUUCGGCUGGGGAUGGGCCCGCGGCCUAUCAGCUUGUUGGUGGGGUCACGGCCCACCAAGGCGACGACGGGUAGCC
rnacentral:rRNA from 1 species